CUGUGAAGGGCAACUGGUGUUGAAGCCAAGACGUGAUGAAGUGAGUGUUGAACACAGGAACACUGAUUAAAAAGGGUUGGGAAACUAGUUUGCAUGGCCAAACCUAGCCCACCAUCUGUUUUGUUUCCUGCUCUUCCCAACCUGCACUAUGGACUUCAUCAGAUUUCAGCAUUAGAGAGAAUAUGAAAGGACAUCAACCGUAACUUCAUCCAGUGAGGAUUUCCACACACCAUACACUCUGAGAGUUCUCCUGGCUUUGUGUGCACACCUCCAGUGACAGGGAGCUCACUAUGUCAUGAGGCAGCCUGCUCCCUUGUGGCUAUCACUGA